rnacentral:lncRNA from 1 species
CCCACUAUCUCUCUUGAAACUUAUUUCAAUUGUGUUAUACACAUCAAACAUUUUGGAGAGCAUGUGUUUAUUGUACACUACAUAGUUUACAAUAAACUUAGUGAACGAUUAGGAUAGGGACACAAAGGUGAAGUCCUUGCCUAGUUCCUGUCUCUAGAAGUGUUUUAACACUUCAACACUCAAUGAUUCAAAAUCAUCAUAAGUCCAUGUUGAUGGACUAUUUUUGUCAACCAACCAUUAUGUUCUAAACAUAAUUACAAACCUUCAAGAGUUUGUACAAGGCAACUCUCAUUUCUUCAUACAACAAUUUGUAAGUGAAGAAUCAUGGCACAUAAAAUGUCCAUGCCUUUGUGCUUUCUUCUCAAGUUCUUUGUUCAUUUAACAAAGAAACAAGCACUAGUGUUUGCAUUGACUAAGGGUUGUUCAAGGCAACUAUUAUUUCUUCAUACAACGAUUUGUAAGUGAAGAACUAAUAACACUAAAAGUGUCCUUGUCAUUAUGCUAAUCUUCGUAAGUUCCUUUGUUCAUUUAACAAAGGAUUAAGCAUUGGUUGUUUGUGUUGUCCUCUUCAUGAUAGACCUUUCUAACAUGUUCUUCCAAUGAUACAUUAUCUUAGGAAGAUUGUGAGGAUGAGACUACUUAGGUACAUAUACAAUCCAUUUAAGACAAUCUUUGGGAUUGUGUUACCAAGUCCGGAAACUAAAGCAUUUGGCUUUUCUUUGUCAAGUUUUGGAUAGCGUUUGCAAAUAUAUUGGUAAACAAAUACAUAACGAAUAUAAAUUGAU